GUCUCACUCAUGGCCGAUCAGUGUGUUCUUUCUGAUUAGCUCUUAAUUGAGAUCACCUGUCACGCACCCCUUUAUUAAUGGUGAACACAAUGGGUUUGGUUUACUUUUCGCAUCGGCCUUUGUCAAUCGAGGUUGAGUUUAGUGAGGGUUGAAAGUUUUCGAUCUAGAUUGCAGAUCACUAUUGUCACUUUAUACAAACUGAAAGUAUGCGUUGUUGCGUGUUUGUUUUUGUGGGCAUUUGACUGAACAGCCCAGACAAAUAUUGCUACCAACAUGGCACUUGGAAACAGACCACCGCAGUGAGUAAAAGUUAUUUUCCUUUAUUAAAUGUUGACGUUUUUGUCUCCUCAGACACAAGCCACCAGUAUCCCUGCUCUUUGCACCUUGACAUGCAUGUCACCGCUGUUUGUUAACCUAGCUUUGGGGAUUUGUAUCUUGUGAUGUGUGUGUGUGGGUUUUUCUUAACAGGUGUUAGAUGACUGACAAGAUCUAUGGGGGGGCCCCCUUUGGGCCCCCCCAUACCAACUUAGUCUUCAAAGGAAUCUAGUGCCAUGGGACUCUAGUGUCUUCCAAACAUCCUGCUGCGUGGGCCGUAGUGGCUUCCAGAGCUAUCUUUCGGUCUUGGUCAGGAUUUGUUACAGUUGCCCUUCAAUGUAGGUUUCUGAAGAAGCCUGCUUUACGUAGCAUUGGGAGUACAAAUAUUGUGCAAAAUGCUCAUGUAAUUGCACUAGCACUGGUAACCUGUAGAUUAGCUUAGUUUAACGUCAUUCGGUGCUGUCUGUCAAAUGUGUGGCUUACUUUAAGUCCACAAGGCCCUCUGGUAAACCGCGUUGGAACACCCCCUGGACAAGGUGAUUAGUCACUGGGUGUGUGCUAAAGUUUUGUUCCAUUUUUCACUAGUUGGUUAAGGUUUGGUAGAAUUGUUUGGAUGCUAGCGACGUGAUGGCGUAUGUACAAGAGCCUACCGUGGCCAGGCCACAGUUGCGACGGCCACGGCCAGAUGGCCUAGUGUGAGUGCAACCUUGAUUGCAUUUGUAUACUGUUUACCAUUGGAUGUUUAUGCAAUUUGGCUUAAUUCAUCCGCUGCAUUUGACUAUUCCAGGGUCGUUUUGUACAGGCUUUCAAUUUACCAUGUUGACUAGUUUGUGGGAAGUUUUUUUUUUUUUUUUUUACCCUUGCUUACAAUCCAACGGUUGCGACCACUUAUGCAACUGGGCUGUGAACCUUGCAAUUCUAGUUGCAUAUUUGUACACGCAAGCUUGUCCAUUUCUAUCGCCAUCACUAGCUUCAGCAUUUCCUUGUAGGCCAUAAGCUGACUUGUGUAUUGGAGCAAGAUGCUUGAAAACCUAAAAUAAAGCAAAAUGCGUGUCUGGUGUGCAAGAGCCAAUUUGUUGGCUUGCAGUAGUCGAGGAGUUGCCGUAGGUCGUAAGCCAUCUGGAGGUUGUGGCAAUGGAGGCUUGUGGUAGAUCUGCCAUCCAAGAAAGGGGGACUUGACUGGUGAGUCUACUGGAUUAAUCAGUAGCGGUACUUUGCCCAACAGAUUUGAUGGCAUGACGACAGGGUGACAAAGACAAUUAUUCCCUGCCUAUCAAAAGAGACUUCUAAAACAUAUCUGCUAGAACAGUUCCUAUACUUUUUGUAUAAUUUGGUCAUGCUGAAAAUUUACUUUUUGUAGUUGCUCCAUAUUUAGUUCUUUGACAGCCUCACCUGCUAGAAAAGUCUAUUCAAAUCGGCUAAAUAUAAUGAACUAAAUUAAUAGCCAUGAAAUUAAUAGUCACUCAUACUAAUGGCAAAUACCCCCUUUCAGUUGGUGGUUCAACACUGAUGUCUCUCUAGGCUUGAGGGAGAGCUCACAAGUAAAUUACACGAAUGUCCUGGAGCAAUUGGGAAUACACUUUUAUUUAGUCUACCUGACCAGGAACAUCUUUGAACUAUAGGUCACCUAACCCAAACUUUUCACUCUUGUUAGGUUGUCCUUUUCUCUUGUUUUAACCCGAAAGGGCUGAAAAUAUCAACAUUUCAGGUAAUCUGUUUGGAUAAUGUGCAAAACUUGUGGCUUCACUAAUAAAAAAAAUUAACUAAUGUAUUUUUCUUAAUGUGGUUAAACUAUUUAAAGAUUUGUAUGCAAAAUAUUUCUGCUGAAUUUGUGGUCAAUGAAACUCAAAUUUUUUAAAUUUGAUAAAACGCAACUAUGGGUUAAAGGUAUUUGCUUUGGGCAUCUUUGGAUAUUUUUAGAAUCUAGCUCCAUUGCCG
ensembl:lncRNA